GCUUAACACAUGCAAGUCGAACGAUGAACCUCACUUGUGGGGGGAUUAGUGGCGAACGGGUGAGUAACACGUGAGUAACCUGCCCUUAACUCUGGGAUAAGCCUGGGAAACUGGGUCUAAUACCGGAUAUGACUCCUCAUCGCAUGGUGGGGGGUGGAAAGCUUUAUUGUGGUUUUGGAUGGACUCGCGGCCUAUCAGCUUGUUGGUGAGGUAAUGGCUCACCAAGGCGACGACGGGUAGCCGGCCUGAGAGGGUGACCGGCCACACUGGGACUGAGACACGGCCCAGACUCCUACGGGAGGCAGCAGUGGGGAAUAUUGCACAAUGGGCGCAAGCCUGAUGCAGCGACGCCGCGUGAGGGAUGACGGCCUUCGGGUUGUAAACCUCUUUCAGUAGGGAAGAAGCGAAAGUGACGGUACCUGCAGAAGAAGCGCCGGCUAACUACGUGCCAGCAGCCGCGGUAAUACGUAGGGCGCAAGCGUUAUCCGGAAUUAUUGGGCGUAAAGAGCUCGUAGGCGGUUUGUCGCGUCUGCCGUGAAAGUCCGGGGCUCAACUCCGGAUCUGCGGUGGGUACGGGCAGACUAGAGUGA
rnacentral:rRNA from 1 species